ACUCAAUGCGCAUAUUGUGUUUCCACAGCAGCACAAGCUUCACCUCCAGCUGGGACCCCCCUGCAGGGGGCAGGAGGACAAGUGAGGAACCGCAGCCUGCCAACCAGUGCAGAGGGAAGUUUGCAGGAGGAAUGUGAGAACCAAGCCCAGGACACCAUAUGCCCUCAGCCGUCUACCCUGGGCAGGAGAUGGAACUGGGAACUCCAUGCUAAGAGAACUCGGCCUGAAAGUACCUCAGAGCCCCCUGUCUGACAUGACCAGCAGAGUGUCUCAUGGGGACACUUAAAUGACCUACCUGGCAGGUCUGCACACUUAGAAAGGCUACCGUUAAGAAAAUCUCAAAUCCCAGUAAGGACACUGGGAGAAGGGGACCCUUAUGCACUAUGGAAAUCAGCGUGGAAAGUCUUCAAAAUCUAAAAGUAUAACUUCCAUAUGACCCAGCUUGACAUGGAUAUGUUCCCCAAGUCAACACACCAGAGACACCUGUGUAUCUAUGAUCACUGCAGCCAUAUUCACAAAAGCCAAGUGAGACAAUCAGCCUAGGUGUCCAAUAAAAGAUGAAUAAAAAAAUAUGAUCUGUAUACACAAUGGAAUUUUUAUUUGUUUAA